CCUACGGGGUGCAGCAGUGGGGAAUAUUGGACAAUGGGCGAAAGCCUGAUCCAGCCAUGCCGCGUGUGUGAAGAAGGCCUUCGGGUUGUAAAGCACUUUCAGUGGGGAAGAAAGCCUUGGGGCUAAUACCCUCGAGGAAGGACAUCACCCACAGAAGAAGCACCGGCUAACUCCGUGCCAGCAGCCGCGGUAAUACGGAGGGUGCGAGCGUUAAUCGGAAUUACUGGGCGGAAAGCGCGCGUAGGCGGUCUGAUAAGCCGGUUGUGAAAGCCCCGGGCUCAACCUGGGAACGGCAUCCGGAACUGUCAGGCUAGAGUGCAGGAGAGGAAGGUAGAAUUCCCGGUGUAGCGGUGAAAUGCGUAGAGAUCGGGAGGAAUACCAGUGGCGAAGGCGGCCUUCUGGACUGACACUGACGCUGAGGUGCGAAAGCGUGGGUAGCAAACAGGAUUAGAUACCCUAGUAGUC
rnacentral:rRNA from 1 species